rnacentral:rRNA from 1 species
ACGGCUCAGUAACACGUGGCUAAUCUGCCCUUAGGACGAGAACAACCCCGGGAAACUGGGGCUAACUCUCGAUAGGCGAAGAACUCUGGAAUGAGUCUUCACCUAAACAGUUCGGCGUUAUGCUCGUUGGACCGCCUAAGGAUGAGGCCGCGACCGAUCAGGUUGUUGGUGAGGUAAUGGCUCACCAAGCCUUUUACCGGUGCGGGCCGUGAGAGCGGGAGCCCGGAGAUGGGCACUGAGACAAGGGCCCAGGCCCUACGGGGCGCAGCAGUCGCGAAAACUUUGCAAUACACGCAAGUGUGACAGGGCUAUCCCGAGUGCCAUCCGCUGAGGAAGGCUUUUACCCAGUCUAGAACGCUGGGGGAAUAAGGAGAGGGCAAGUCUGGUGUCAGCCGCCGCGGUAAUACCAGCUCUCCGAGUGGUGUGGAUGUUUAUUGGGCCUAAAGCAUCCGUAGCUGGCUAAGUUAGUCCCUUGUUAAAUCCACCGAAUUAAUCGUUGGAUUGCGGGGGAUACUGCUUGGCUAGGGGACGAGAGAGGCAGACGGUAUUUUUGGGGUAGGGGUGAAAUCCUACAAUCCCAGGAAGACCACCAGUGGCGAAGGCUGUCUGCUAGAACGCGCCCGACGGUGAGGGAUGAAAGCUGGGGGAGCGAACCGGAUUAGAUACCCGGGUAGUCCCAGCUGUAAACGAUGCAGGCUAGGUGUUUGGACGGCCACGUGCCGUUCUAGUGCCGCAGGGAAGCUGUUAAGCCUGCCGCCUGGGGAGUACGAUCGCAAGAUUGAAACUUAAAGGAAUUGGCGGGGGAG